UUUUAAGGUGCAAGGAAGAAGAAAAUACCAGUUUCACUCAAGCUGAGAUGCCAAAUGGCUGUGUGGAUUGGAGCCUCCUGCCAACCGUCCUGGAUAUAAGAUAUUUCAACAUCUUAAAUGCCAACUUGAAAAUUCCCUUUUCAGCACAAGCGCUCUGCUCUACUCCAGCAGGAUCUUGAGGCAUCGUGGUCAUUAGUCUAAGCAGUGCAGGAUCCAGACCACAGUGAGGGUGAAGUAGGAGGGGAAAGCACUGCGCGUGAGCAGGUACCACGAGCUUCCCACAGAAUUGGUGGAAACAACGUGCAGAGCAACGUGGGGAAAGGAGAGACACCUGAUAAAUCCACAGGUUAAGGGCGCCCAUACUCAUCGUAUUCGGCCAUGACAGGGAACCCGGGUGCUCGUAGUGGCACAUGGGAGAGACUACACACCAUCCCCAGGUAAAUUCAGAAAAUUGUGAAAUACCUUGGAUGCCACCUGAGAAGGCAAAGUUUAUUCCUUAGGAGACUGCAGCAGUGCCUUGGGACGGUCACACUGGAGGAGGAAGCCUGGGAGAGCAGCGCACAUACGUAAGAGCCAGUGGAACAAGUGGGCAGGAGAGAUCAAUGGAGGAGACCUAAGGGAGUGCUGUUCCUAAUGCUGGUUGGAGGAAGACGAUGCCUUUGACUCUUUGGAGUUCACAGAAUUCAGGACAGAGAGGCAGAAGUAGGAGGAAGGGGAAUUUGUGUGGAUUUACACAGACUAAGCCUAAAAUCCCAGAAGGAAGUUCAUAUGCGGGAGAUAUCCUGCCACCAUGCAUCCGGAGCCCACAGAGAGUGACUGAUGGCAUAGUGGCAGCUCUCAAAGCAUCAGCAGAAAGACUGAAGAUGUGAGGGAGAAAUCACAGAAGAUGGAAGAGACUGGGGCCAGGAGCUGCAAAUGAGAAAAGGCAGCAGAAGACCCCCACCCGAGCCUGAUACGGAGCAUUGAGAACAGUUACUUGUUGUAUGACCUGAGACCUGGGUGUACAGUUACUUGUUGUAUGACUUGAGACCUGGUUGUACUCUCUUCAUACCUAACGGGAGGACCAAUAUCGGCUUCAGCAUCGAUGGCUUUUCCAAAAGGGGUCAGCUAUGAGGUCUACACAGGCUGUUUCCAGCCCCCUUGCUGUCUCAGAGCAGAGUGAAAAGAGACUACUGGCAAGCAGUCUUACUGCUAAAGAUGGGUGUAAAUGUGACAGGCAUACUUGCAGCAAGACCCUAAGUUUUAGAAUCUCGAGAGGGUAAAGGUCACGUGUCCUGCGUGCAAACACUAUCCUUGGUUUUCCAAGGACUGGUGUUUUCUGAUGUGAACAAUCAGAAGCCUGUGAACCAAGAACUGUUCUGAAGGACUGAACACCAUGAGCAGAUGUGAGUGCAAUUGUGGAGCCCUGAAACUUCAGAGAAAGCCAGAAUUGUACUGGGCUUCAUUUCCUUAGGAGAGG